rnacentral:rRNA from 1 species
GACGAACGCUGGCGGCGUGCUUAACACAUGCAAGUCGAACGGAAAGGCCCUGCUUUUGUGGGGUGCUUGAGUGGCGAACGGGUGAGUAACACGUGAGUAACCUGCCCUUGACUUUGGGAUAACUUCAGGAAACUGGGGCUAAUACCGGAUAGGAGCUCCUGCUGCAUGGUGGGGGUUGGAAAGUUUCGGCGGUUGGGGAUGGACUCGCGGCUUAUCAGCUUGUUGGUGGGGUAGUGACUUACCAAGGCUUUGACGGGUAGCCGGCCUGGGAGGGUGACCGGCCACAUUGGUACUGAGAUACGGCCCAGACUCCUACGGGAGGCAGCAGUGGGGAAUAUUGCACAAUGGGCUGAAGCCUGAUGCAGCAACGCCGCGUGCGGGAUGACGGCCUUCGAGUUGUAAACCGCUGUCGCCUGUGACGAAGCGUGAGUGACGGUAAUGGGUAAAGAAGCACCGGCUAACUACGUG